CCUACGGGAGGCAGCAGUGAGGAAUAUUGGUCAAUGGGCGCGAGCCUGAACCAGCCAAGUCGCGUGAGGGAAUACGGCCCUACGGGUUGUAAACCUCUUUUGCCGGGGAGCAACGGCCGCGACGUGUGGCGCCACUGAGAGUACCCGGAGAAAAAGCAUCGGCUAACUCCGUGCCAGCAGCCGCGGUAAUACGGAGGAUGCGAGCGUUAUCCGGAUUUAUUGGGUUUAAAGGGUGCGUAGGCGGGGGGUUAAGUCAGCGGUAAAAUUUCGGGGCUCAACCCCUUCCCGCCAUUGAAACUGGCGCUCUUGAGUGGAAGAGAAGUAUGCGGAAUGCGUGGUGUAGCGGUGAAAUGCAUAGAUAUCACGCAGAACCCCGAUUGCGAAGGCAGCAUUCCGGCGCCCGACUGACGCUGAGGCACGAAAGUGCGGGGAUCGAACAGGAUUAGAUACCCCAGUAGUC
rnacentral:rRNA from 1 species